CGUCCUCUACAGCCACUUCCGCGAGCGCUAGGUUAGGGCCGGGGGCGGGCCGACCUUGAGCGCGGGGCGCGCAGGCGCAGCGCGGCGCAGGUGGGAGGGCGGCGGGCCUCCGGCGCGCCUGCGAGGAACCGGAGAUACCCGCCGAGGCCGGAAGGACGUCUACCAAGAGCAGAGAAACCAGAAAGCGAAUUCGGCCUGUUUAAUAUAUUCCACAGAGCAACUGGGGAACCUAAUUCUGACCAACAAGGAGGAAUUGCUUGGCUAAUUGGAAGUGACAGAAACCUUGGGAGAAAGCAACCACAAACCAAGGAUAAUUAUAAGAAGGUAACAUGGGCCCUAAAGGAUAGUGUCAAGAAACCUGAAGCUGCCAAAUGAGGGAAGCAGAAAAAGAGAGAUGGCACCCCCAACAAAAUCUUCAUGCCAUGAUCCAUCCCCAGCCUCAGUCAACCAUGGGACAUGGACAUGCAUAUGCUCCCUACAUGUUCAGAGAGGUCUCUGGAUGAAAAGUUGGAAGCUUCCCAUGUGGGCCAGCUUUGCAGAGCAUCAUAUUUUACUGUUGCAUCACCGUGCAGCACCCUAAUAGCUAUUUAUUUCAAAAAUGUCUGUUUGAGAGGAUCAACAAGAAGACCAACUAAGGAUAUUAACAUAUUCAUUUUGGGAAUUUCAGCAACCCACUGUCAUCAUUGUGUAGGCCAGAGAUUAUCUAAACAAAAAAAUAAAUAAGAAACUGUAGACUUAAAUAAUACAAUAAUAGAAUAAUAGACCUGACAGAUACUUAUAGAACAUUUCACCCAACAAAUAUAGAUUGCAUGUUUUAUUCAGCUGUAUGUGUAACAUCCUCUAAGACUGACCACAACAGAGCACAAAACAAGUCACUCCAAAUGUUUCAAAAAACAGAAAUACCUCUGACUACAAUGGAAUUAAACUUGAAAUCAACAAAAAAGAACUUUUUAAAUUACACAGAUACAUAGAAACUAAAUAACAUCUCCUGAACAAUGUUGAAAGUACAGAAGAAAAUAAAGAAUGAAAUUUUAAAAUUUCUUGAAACAAUAGCAAAAAUACAACACUCAAAAUCUUUGACAGAAAGUUAAUGUAGUACUAAGAGAAAAGUUUAUAACAAUUAAUGCUUAUGAGAAAAGUAGAAAGAUGGGGGGCUGGCAGGUGAUACGGUGGUUAAGGUGCUAGAGUCCCACA